AAUGGGAAACCUGAAUAACCAGGCAGUGCCAGGGUCACCACUACUGAGGCUGAGUCACUUGGGCAAUGAUUCAGCAAUACCAACUGUGAACUCUCAAUGACUUGGGCUAAUGAGAAGAAUGACAUGGAUAAUCUAAAAAUAAUGGACAACUGGAAAAAGCAUCAGCCUGCUUGUGGAGCACACCAGGUCAUGAUUUCUGCAGUGGGGGAGCAGCUGAUUUGCUUCAUUCAUUCUAGAACCUCUAUUCUAGCUGAUGUUAAAUCUGGUUGUUUUUGAGAGCGCUCGUAGCCAUCAUGCCCAUCUCUGUAUCACACGGGUUUGGGAAAAGAAACUCUUCUGGCCAAGGAUGGAAGAAUAAAAACAUAACUGAGUUCCAGAUAUGCUAAUGUUUUCCACUAUUGCAUCUCCUAAGAUAUCAGUAGGACCUGGAAAGGUGGCAAUGACCUCAUGGCUCCCAGGUGCUGGGGUUGCUGCAAUGGCUGGAGCUGAGAAAAACUUGAAGGUUUUAGAGAAGUUCUGCUUCCAAAUGAAGGGUGCAGAGUAAUUAAUGCCACAAGCUACAUGGAGUGGCCAAUUGAAGAAGCUAUAAAAGUUGGAGCAGUGCAGGAAGCAACAUGCCCGGGAAAGGGGAUUUUUUUGCACUUUUUAUUGCAAUAAUGCAGGAACAUUCUAUGAAUAGAAUCCAGGGGAGCCAUCAAGUCCAUGUUCGGGUGACUGUAAGGGGAGGGAUUUUGAUCCUCUUCCGAGACAGCUGUCUCCAGGCUCAGGCACAGAUCACGUUAUUUUAUUAGAGCCUUCAGUAGUUAAGAGAAAGUUCUUGGUUGAAUUGGGAAAGGGACCUAAAAAUAACUGUAAAAUUUUGAGCUAGCUCUGCCCCUUUCUCCAUUGUUUCUGCUUUGUGGAUGCCAUUUUAUGGAUUGAGAAAUCAAAGUCUAUUGAUGAAAACGAUUGCAAUGUGCAGAUUCACUUGGAACACAGAAAGACUCAGAGAGCUGGUCAGUACCUUGAUGGACAACUCUCCCCAUCCUCCAUCCUUGGUAUACCACUGUUUAUCUGUACAAUUCUCUUUUUAUUCACUGCUCUUUCAAUUCCUCUCACUACAAAGGAAGAAAAUCUCUUUAAGGAGCUGCAUAUAUAAUACAUAUAAGUGGUUUCAAAAAUAUUAGAGAAACAAUAC
rnacentral:lncRNA from 1 species